rnacentral:sRNA from 1 species
CAAUAAGCGGAGGAAAAGAAACUAACAAGGAUUCCCCUAGUAACUGCGAGUGAAGCGGGAAAAGCUCAAAUUUAAAAUCUGGCGGUCUUUUGGCCGUCCGAGUUGUAAUCUAGAGAAGUGUUAUCCGCGCUGGACCGUGUACAAGUUUCCUGGAAUGGAGCAUCAUAGAGGGUGAGAAUCCCGUCUUUGACAUGGACUACCAGGGCUUUGUGAUGCGCUCUCAAAGAGUCGAGUUGUUUGGGAAUGCAGCUCAAAAUGGGUGGUAAAUUCCAUCUAAAGCUAAAUAUUGGCGAGAGACCGAUAGCGAACAAGUACCGUGAGGGAAAGAUGAAAAGAACUUUGGAAAGAGAGUUAAACAGUACGUGAAAUUGCUGAAAGGGAAACGCUUGAAGUCAGUCGCGUCAUCCAGGGAUCAACCUUGCUUUUGCUUGGUGCACUUUCUGGCUUGAUGGGUCAGCAUCAAUUUUGACCAUUGGAAAAAGGUCAAGGGAAUGUGGCAUCUUCGGAUGUGUUAUAGCCCUUGGUCACAUACAAUGGUUGGGAUUGAGGAACUCAGCACGCCGCAAGGCCGGGUUUUUAACCACGUUCGUGCUUAGGAUGCUGGCAAUAUGGCUUUAAUCGACCCGUCUUGAAACACGGACCAAGGAGUCUAACAUGCCUGCGAGUGUUUGGGUGGAAAACCCGAGCGCGUAAUGAAAGUGAAAGGUUGAGAUCCCUGUCGUGGGGAGCAUCGACGCCCGGACCAGACCUUUUGUGACGGUUCCGCGGUAGAGCAUGUAUGUUGGGACCCGAAAGAUGGUGAACUAUGCCUGAAUAGGGUGAAUCCAGAGGAAACUCUGGUGGAGGCUCGUAGCGAUUCUGACGUGCAAAUCGAUCGUCAAAUUUGGGUAUAGGGGCGAAAGACUAAUCGAACCAUCUAGUAGCUGGUUCCUGC